CUCCCUAGUCAGGAAGCUCUUUCUGCUAAUGCAGAUGAGCAAACUGAAACAGGCAAUAUUAAAUGACUUACACAAGGCCAUAGUCAUUUAAUGUGUGAAGAUAGAUUUGAAUUUGGACCUUCUUGACUCUAAACCAGUGCUCUAUCUACCAGGCCAUCUAGCUACCAGACAACAGAGGGAAGACACCAGCAUUAAGAUGGAUCAAGAAAGGUUCCUUGAAGAGAAUGGGAUUUUGGCCGAGACUUAAAAGAAGCCAAGGAAACUAGGAAGCAGAGAUGAGGAGGGAGAGAGUCCAGGCAUGGGAGUCAGACAGUGAAAACAGUCAGCGUUGGGAGAUGAAAUGUCAUGUGUGAAGAAUUAACAUGGAGGCCAGUAUCGCUGGAUCUUGGAGUACUUGGAAGUGUGUAAGGUACUCAAGAAAAGAAAAUAAUUUUCACUCACCUCCCUGCAUGGUUUCUCUGUCUCUUGCCUCUGGCCUCUUCCUUCUCUCACCAUCAAUCCCAUCUUCUUCGGAGGGUACUGUCACAUUUCUAACCCCCA